UGGAAACGGUGUCUAAUACUGGAUAUGCACAAUGGCCGCAUGGUCUGUUGUGGGAAAGAUUUAUCGGUGAAGGAUGGGCUCGCGGCCUAUCAGCUUGUUGGUGAGGUAGUGGCUCACCAAGGCGACGACGGGUAGCCGGCCUGAGAGGGUGACCGGCCACACUGGGACUGAGACACGGCCCAGACUCCUACGGGAGGCAGCAGGGGGGAAUAUUGCACAAUGGGCGCAAGCCUGAUGCAGCAACGCCGCGUGAGGGAUGACGGCCUUCGGGUUGUAAACCUCUUUUAGUAGGGAAGAAGCGAAAGUGACGGUACCUGCAGAAAAAGCACCGGCUAACUACGUGCCAGCAGCCGCGGUAAUACGUAGGGUGCAAGCGUUGUCCGGAAUUAUUGGGCGUAAAGAGCUCGUAGGCGGCUUGUCGCGUCUGCUGUGAAAACCCGAGGCUCAACCUCGGGCCUGCAGUGGGUACGGGCAGGCUAGAGUGCGG
rnacentral:rRNA from 1 species